AGUGAACGCUGGCGGCAGGCCUAACACAUGCAAGUCGAACGGCAGCACAAGAGAGCUUGCUCUCUGGGUGGCGAGUGGCGGACGGGUGAGGAAUGCAUCGGAAUCUGCCCAUUUGUGGGGGAUAACCUCGGGAAACCGGGACUAAUACCGCAUACGACCUACGGGUGAAAGCAGGGGAUCUUCGGACCUUGCGCAGAUGGAUGAGCCGAUGCCGGAUUAGCUAGUUGGAGGGGUAAAGGCCCACCAAGGCGACGAUCCGUAGCUGGUCUGAGAGGAUGAUCAGCCACACUGGGACUGAGACACGGCCCAGACUCCUACGGGAGGCAGCAGUGGGGAAUAUUGGACAAUGGGCGCAAGCCUGAUCCAGCCAUGCCGCGUGUGUGAAGAAGGCCUUCGGGUUGUAAAGCAUUUUUGUUGGGAAAGAAAAGCAGCCGGUUAAUACCCGGUUGUCAUGACGGUACCCAAAGAAUAAGCACCGGCUAACUUCGUG
rnacentral:rRNA from 1 species